rfam:Equus caballus chromosome 6, whole genome shotgun sequence.
GGAUGUGAGGGUGAUCUGGCUACGACAUGUCACCCCAUUGAUCGCCAGGGUCGAUUUGGCUGAUCUGGCUGGCUAGGCGGGUCUCCCCUUCCUCCCUCACUGCUCCACGUGCAACCCUCCUGAAGCUGUGCUCUGUCAAGAGGACACCCUUCCCUGAUAGAGGAGGAUCAUUCUUUGGUCAAGGGUAUAUGAGUAGCCGUGCUACCCUUCCAGGACCUCCAAAUAAGCUCUCAAGGUCCAUUUGUAGGAGAACAUAGGGUAGUCAAGCGUCCAAGACUCCAGACACAUCCAAAUGAGGCGCUGCAUGUGGCAGUCUGCCUCUCUUA